rnacentral:rRNA from 1 species
GAUGAACGCUAGCGGGAGUCCUAACACAUGCAAGCCGAGCGGUAUUUCUUCUUCGGGAGAGAGAGAGCGGCGUACGGGUGCGGAACACGUGUGCAACCUGCCUUUAUCUAGAGGUUAGCCUUUCGAAAGGAAGAUUAAUACUCUAUAAUAUAUUAAUUGGCAUCAAUUGAUAUUGAAAACUCCGGUGGAUAGAGAUGGGCACGCGCAAGAUUAGCUAGUUGGUGAGGUAACGGCUCACCAAGGCAAUGAUCUUUAGGGGGCCUUAGAGGGUGAUGCCGCACACUGGUACUGAGACACGGACCAGAAUCCUACGGGAGGCAGCAGUGAGGAAUAUUGGACAAUGGGUGCAAGCCUGAACCAGCCAUCCCGCGUGAAGGAUUAAGGUCCUAUGAAUUGUAAACUUCUUUUGUAUAGGGAUAAACCUACCCUCGUGAGGGUAGCUGAAGGUACUAUACGAAUAAGCACCGGCUAACUCCGUGCCAGAAGCCGCGGUAA